rnacentral:rRNA from 1 species
CAGCCGCCACGGGAACACGGAGGGAGCUAGCGUUGUUCGGAGUUACUGGGCGUAAAGCGCGCGUAGGCGGUUACUCAAGUCAGAGGUGAAAGCCCGGGGCUCAACCCCGGAACUGCCUUUGAAACUAGGUGACUAGAAUCUUGGAGAGGUCAGUGGAAUUCCGAGUGUAGAGGUGAAAUUCGUAGAUAUUCGGAAGAACACCAGUGGCGAAGGCGACUGACUGGACAAGUAUUGACGCUGAGGUGCGAAAGCGUGGGGAGCAAACAGGAUUAGAUACCCCCGUAGUCCCUGUCUCUUAUAC